AUUGAACGCUGGCGGCAGGCCUAACACAUGCAAGUCGAACGAGUGGCGGACGGGUGAGUAAUGUCUGGGAAACUGCCCGAUGGAGGGGGCUAACUACUGGAAACGGUAGCUAAUACCGCAUACCAUCGGAUGUGCCCAGAUGGGAUAAGCUAGUAGGUGGGGUAAAGGCUCACCUAGGCGACGAGCCCUAGCUGGGCUGAGAGGAUGACCAGCCACACUGGAACGGAGACACGGUCCAGCGUCCUACGGGAGGCAGCAGUGGGGAAUAUUGCACAAUGGGCACAAGCCUGAUGCAGCCACGCCGCGUGUAUGAAGAAGGCCUUCGGGUUGUAAAGUACUUUCAGCGAGGAGGCGUUACUCGCAGAAGAAGCACCGGCUAACUCCGUGCCAGCAGCCGCGGUAAUAC
rnacentral:rRNA from 1 species